GGCUCAGAACGAACGCUGGCGGCGUGGAUAAGACAUGCAAGUCGAACGAGAGAAUUGCUAGCUUGCUAAUAAUUCUCUAGUGGCGCACGGGUGAGUAACACGUGAGUAACCUGCCCCCGAGAGCGGGAUAGCCCUGGGAAACUGGGAUUAAUACCGCAUAGUAUCGAAAGAUUAAAGCAGCAAUGCGCUUGGGGAUGGGCUCGCGGCCUAUUAGUUAGUUGGUGAGGUAACGGCUCACCAAGGCGAUGACGGGUAGCCGGUCUGAGAGGAUGUCCGGCCACACUGGAACUGAGACACGGUCCAGACACCUACGGGUGGCAGCAGUCGAGAAUCAUUCACAAUGGGGGAAACCCUGAUGGUGCGACGCCGCGUGGGGGAAUGAAGGUCUUCGGAUUGUAAGCCCCUGUCAUGUGGGAGCAAAUUAAAAAGAUAGUACCACAAGAGGAAGAGACGGCUAACUCUGUGCCAGCAGCCGCGGUAAUACAGAGGUCUCAAGCGUUGUUCGGAAUCACUGGGCGUAAAGCGUGC
rnacentral:rRNA from 1 species